rnacentral:lncRNA from 1 species
CCCCUUUUAUAGGCGGGGGAGGCAACAGACUGAUGGCGACGUUUGUAACCGCCUGGUAGUGGACCGCCCAUGGUCAGGGAAAUUGAUUGCGAAAGAUAAUGGAGCAGACACGUGGCCAUCACCUCGACCCGCCACGUGGAAUCUGUUGUGAGGGGUGGAGCAGCGUCCGUCGUCAGGAGAAUCACAUGGUAUCCGUCGCAGGAGGUGGAGCAGGUUCGUGGCCGUCACUGUGGCCUGCCAGGGGAUAGUGGAGCUGUGCGGAGUCUGCCACAGGAAGUGGAGCAGGGCGGCUAUGGCCACUGCGGCUUGUCAGGGAAUGAUGGUACUGCACGGAG